rnacentral:rRNA from 1 species
UGAGGAAUAUUGGGCAAUGGGCGCAAGCCUGACCCAGCAACGCCGCGUGAAGGAAGACGGUCUUCGGAUUGUAAACUUCUUUUGUCAGGGACGAAUAAUGACGGUACCUGGCGAAUAAGCCACGGCUAACUACGUGCCAGCAGCCGCGGUAAUACGUAGGUGGCAAGCGUUGUCCGGAUUUACUGGGUGUAAAGGGCGAGUAGGCGGAUUUGCAAGUCAGGUGUGAAAGCCCGGGGCUUAACCCCGGGUCUGCAUUUGAAACUGCGGAUCUUGAGUAUCGGAGAGGCAGGCGGAAUUCCCGGUGUAGCGGUGGAAUGCGUAGAUAUCGGGAGGAACACCAGUGGCGAAGGCGGCCUGCUGGACGACAACUGACGCUGAGGAGCGAAAGCGUGGGGAGCAA